AAGGAGAGUGGAGUCAUUCAGGUUUUCAACCCAUUAAAAAAUGAAAAGAUCAAAAAAAAGGAAGUGGCGUCUAGUCACACGCACGUCUCUGAGUGAAGGCAGUGGAUCGUUCAGUCGUGUGACGCAGAUAACUUCAACAGCACAAAGUCAACGUGAUCUGAAGCAGGAUGACUGCGGACACAGAGGAGGUGACGGCCCCUCCUGACGUCACUCCGGGUAAAGAGCCCCAGAGCAAAGUCCGAGGUGAGAAGAAGAGUUAAUAUCCUUCAUCAAAUGUUGAUGUUUAAACUUCAGUGGCCUGUUAUCAGGAGAAACAUCAGGUUCAGUUCAUUUUCUCUAAAUUGUCCUCCUCUGUCCUCAGGUUGAUCACCCACUGGAGCAACCUGUCCAUGGAGCAACCGCUGCCAUUCAGGCGACAGAGGCCAUACUCUGCCAGGAACAUGCGGGCGGUGUCUAUGAGGUCACCUCCGUCAUUCAAGCGACAGCCGAUUAGACGGUAAGUGAACGUCCUGAUGUGAGCACACACAGAAUCAUUUCACAUGAAGGAGGCAAAGUGAAUCAUACUGAUCAGUAAAGUGACUCCUCUAAACAUCCUGAACUAAAAACACUAGAGAGAAAACGACUCAGUUGAGCAGUGAGAGGAAGAGGAGGAGACUCAGGAGGAGCUCUGAUGUUUGA